rnacentral:tRNA from 1 species
GUGGCUCAGUUGGUAGAGCAUGGUGUUUGCAAUUGUGUUUGCAAUGCCAGGGUUGUGGGUUCGAUUCCCACC